ACAAACUUGGUCAUUUAGAGGAAGUAAAAGUCGUAACAAGGUUUCCGUAGGUGAACCUGCGGAAGGAUCAUUAGAGAAUAACUGAAAGGGGUCCGGGCCGAAUUUUGGGCCGGCACUUACUUUCAAACCAUCCACACACCGGCCGGAGGGGGACAGUUUGUCUUCUUCGGCCGUAGGGGGUAGCUUUUUCUCUUGGUCUGGCUCAGAUUUCUGGGCCGGGCUUGGGGGGGAAAGAUAUUCCUGUCUGACCUUUGCCUAAAAUUUUAUUUUUGACUGAAACUUUUUGAUUAAAAAUCUAAAUCAAAAACAACUUUCAACAACGGAUCUCUUGGCUCUCGCAUCGAUGAAGAACGCAGC
rnacentral:misc_RNA from 1 species